AAUAUUGGUCAAUGGAGGCAACUCUGACGCAGCGACGCCGCGUGAGCGAUGAAGGNCUNNGGAUCNUNAAGCUCUGUCCUUGGNNNNNAAGGUCUUCGGCCUUGACGGUACCUAAGGAGGAAGCCCCGGCUAACUACGUGCCAGCAGCCGCGGUAAUACGUAGGGGGCAAGCGUUGUCCGGAAUUAUUGGGCGUAAAGGGUGCGUAGGCGGCCUUUUAAGUCAGAUGUGAAAGCACACGGCUUAACCGUGGGACUGCAUUUGAAACUGGAGGGCUUGAGUAUCGGAGAGGGUAGUGGAAUUCCCAGUGUAGCGGUGGAAUGCGUAGAUAUUGGGAGGAACACCAGUGGCGAAGGCGACUACCUGGACGAAAACUGACGCUGAGGCACGAAAGCUAGGGGAGCAAACA
rnacentral:rRNA from 1 species